CCUCUCGGGGGUAAGCGGGCAGAACUUGCAAGUAUUGGCUGGGAACAUUCAGGCUUAGUGUUGGUGGCUUGUGGUGCACGUCUUGUGGUUCUUUCGGGGAUUGCUGGCGUGUACUGUUUGGUCUGCUGACGAUGCGCCGCAUUUGUUCCUGUCAUCGGGUUGCAUGCGACUAAAUUGGCAGUUUAGGUGCUGGGGUCCUGCAAAUCCUUGUGGUUUGAGCCCUGGUUUUUCCAACUGCUGUUGUGGUCGUUGAAAAGUAUGAGCAGGCGUUUAUCGCGGUCGAUGGGUUUCGCGAGUUGGGUGCUUAUGAUAUGUGGACGGGUAACCGUAGCAUGUUGUCUGUACCUGCUGUCAGCGAGAUUCCUUUGGCACUGUUCUGAUUGCAAUCUAAAGCAUGCGUGGUCUGCCUGU
rnacentral:rRNA from 1 species